rnacentral:miRNA from 1 species
GUGGAGAAGCAGGGCACGUGC